rnacentral:lncRNA from 1 species
AUUCUUCUGCAUAUUCUUAUACAAUAAGGAUAAACAAUCAUACAAACUAACAAAAACAUCACAUCCUUAAAUAUAUGCUGGAUACCUAUGGUGACGAAGCCGGCCAAAAAAGAAAAUAGAUCUAAGCAUACUUCACAAUAUUUCCGCCACAAUACUAAAAAAAAUUCACUCUCUACACUGGAAAAUUAACUCAAAAUCGUCGGAGAACGUCGCACCAUCCCUAAGAAGAACCGCUGCUGCAGGACCACCCGUUGAAGUACCGCCGAUGGAGGAAGGAACGUCGUCACCGCCGCUGGAGAGGAAGGGUGGCCGCCUCCGCCUUCAAUUUCUCGGGAGAGAAACUAGAAAAUUAGAAAGAAACGUAAAGAGAGAGAGAGAGAGAGAGAGAGAGAGAGAGAGAGAUCUGCCUAAAUCUAGAUGGCCGUGAGAUCUGGCUUCUCUUCGCUGGACUUGAGGAGAUCUGCCUGAAUCUGGAUGGCCGACGGAUCUGCCUGAAACUUGAGGAGAUCGACUUGUCUCCUGCAAAACUGUGCGGCGCUGCCGAUGUGUGUCACUGUGGUGGUGGCUGCCGCGGCGUCGAUGUGACGCCGGAGAAAUUGGGGAAGAAGUACGCCGCGUGGAGCAGAUAGGUGGCGGAGGAAGGAAGAGAUGGCAGCGGCGCCGGUAGUUAAAGAGAGAGAGAGAGACGUGAAGGUGAAGAGUGAGAGUGACGUGAAUUGUGGUGAUGAAUUGAAUUCGAGAGAGCGGCCAUUUUUUAAUAUUUUAAAGGGAGGGGUAUUUAUGACCUUGUGUUCAAAAACUGA